rfam:Fukomys damarensis contig126560, whole genome shotgun sequence.
AUCACUUCUCGGCCUUUUGGCUAAGAUCAAGUGUAGAAUCUAUUCAGUUCCACUCUCAAUAACAUAUAAAAGUGUACAUGUAUGUACUUUUCCAAGUGCUUCAAAGGGAGUUUUGUGAUUAAAGAUAAUGAAUUGCUUUAGUCAUUUUUUUAAAGAUAGAGAAAUGUUCUUACUUUGGGACCUUCC